rnacentral:rRNA from 1 species
UCCGUAGGUGAACCUGCGGAAGGAUCAUUAAAUAAUCAAUAAUCUUGGCUUGUCCAUUAUUAUCUAUUUACUGUGAACUGUAUUAUUAUUUGACGUUUGAGGGAUGUUCCAAUGUUAUAAGGAUAGACAUUGGAGAUGUUAACCGAGUCAUAAUCAGGUUUAGGCCUGGUAUCCUAUUAUUAUUUACCAAAUGAAUUCAGAAUUAAUAUUGUAACAUAGACCUAAAAAAUCUAUAAAACAACUUUUAACAACGGAUCUCUUGGUUCUCGCAUCGAUGAAGAACGCAGCAAAGUGCGAUAACUAGUGUGAAUUGCAUAUUCAGUGAAUCAUCGAGUCUUUGAACGCAACUUGCGCUCAUUGGUAUUCCAAUGAGCACGCCUGUUUCAGUAUCAAAACAAACCCUCUAUCCAACUUUUGUUGUAUAGGAUUAUUGGGGGCCUCUCGAUCUGUAUAGAUCUUGAAACCCUUGAAAUUUACUAAGGCCUGAACUUGUUUAAUGCCUGAACUUUUUUUUAAUAUAAAGGAAAGCUCUUGUAAUUGACUUUGAUGGGGCCUCCCAAAUAAAUCUUUUUUAAAUUUGAUCUGAAAUCAGGUGGGAUUACCCGCUGAACUUAAGCAUAUCAAUAAGCGGAGGA